rnacentral:lncRNA from 1 species
GACCCGGGACUGGAGCGGGGAUGGGGAGUGAAGCUCCAGCCACCGUGGCGGCAGCAGCGGCGGCGACGCCGUGAGGAGCAGCCAGGGGGAGGCAGCUGCCGCUCGUCGUUGGUUUCCACCUGGCUGAAGGACAGAAUCAGAAUCCUGAUGCCACUACUGAAAACGUGAACGUGUUGGCAGCAAAAAUUGCUGUUUUGUCAUCCAGUUGCACCAUCCAAGCAUACAUAACAUGGAAUUUAUUUAAUGCCCAGCUUCAGUGGUGGAUGGAAGAAGACAUUCCUCUUCAGGCUCCAAGUGUGAAGAAGAAGCAACGGACUAAAUGCAAGUCUUCUAGAAAAGGAACAGAAAAUGGAGUGGCAACUUCAGAUAGAGUAGACUCUCCCCAUAAGAGGAAAGAAAAAUCUUCAUGAUGAAUUUCAAGUUAAUUGAUUAAUGUCUCCAAAGAAGUCUACUCUUUCCUGUAACUUUCUUCGCUGAAGACUUUUCUGUUCUUGAAACUAGUUUGUGCAGGUUUUGAUUUUUGCUAUAGUACUGUGUAAUGUAUUUUUUUACAGACAUUUGAAGGAAGGAUGAUUAUUUUGAAUGGAAAAAAUGGCUUAGAAUAAGCUACUCAUCCUCAAAAUGGUUUAGGGAUCGCCACAAUAUUUUUUUUUCAACUUUGAAUAUUUUCUUAGUGAUUUCCAUGUGUCAGUGACACUGUUCUUGCUCCACCAAUCUUUUAUAACAUUAACAAGAUGGUAUGUUAUAGCAAUGACGUAUUUUUAAUGUUCUCUUUCAGGAUAAAAUAAAAAUAUUAUAAAGGUAGAAAUUAACUUCGUUAAGUUUUUGGUAUUCUCUAUCUUAGAAUUUUUAAUGAAUUUACAACUGGAGAACAGAUUUGUAAAACCACCAAAAUAAUGAUGUGUUUUAUAGUUAGUGGUUGUUAGUGUUACAUCCCAUUAAAAAGCCAAGAUACUAAUGGUUAACAUAUGUGGAGACCUGUUGCCCUAUAUCAAUCAAAAUAUCUUGAAUUAGUAUAAAAUUAUUACUAAGAAGUAAAACACUGCUUGUCCAUUUUAAACGCUUGUAAACUGGAAAUCAGAAAAUUAAAUACUGUAAAAAGGAAAUCAGACAAAUAGCUUUUUUUGAUAUGUGUAUUAAAAAUUAUUCUUAAUGAGGUUUGUUAUAAAUUUGGUAUCCAUAGCAAUUUAGAAGAAUAUUGUUUAACCUGUAAAUCAUUUUGAAAAAAUAAUACUUAUUUAUAUCUAUGAAAAAUGUCAGCUAAUUACAGGUGGAAAACAGUUAAUGCACUAAUGUUAAAUAAUUUGAAAAUCAUAUUCUUAUGAAAGGCUUUUCAAAGUAAUGUUAUAAUUAUAGCUUUGCUUCCACCCUUCAUUGGGAAACAUAUUUUGGAGAUACAUACAUAUAUAUACAUAUGUGUAUAUAUACCUUGUAUCUUCACAGAAGUCAAUAGAAACAAUGAACUAUAGUGAGUGAGUACUUAUUGUCUUCUCUCAGCCUUCAGUUUGAUUUUAUUUCCAUAGUGUGAGUGCUUAUAUUUUUUUUUUCAGGAGAAAAUGCUUUAAAAUGUGCUAGGAUAAGGCCAUGUGUUUCUUGUUCCUCUCUAUUUUCUCCUACUGUGUCUCUCAUCUCUCUGCUUUUGCUACCCUUUUAUUUGUUGUAAGUAAUUCAACUUUUCCUAUCAUGGGGGUCCCUGCAGAUUAAACUUAGUAUAGGUAUAUUGUACACCAAAUAUGGAAAUGCCACUCUUGGUAAGAAUUAUUUUCUAUUCUUUCUAUUUUGAGAGGUUUAUAGCAAAGCAAGAUUAUUUCUGUUUGUCUACAGAAUCCAUCAUCCUACUUUUUUUUUUUCCUCAAUUGCCUAAUACUGUAGUUUUGGUAGCACAUCUUCUAGGUCAAAGUACAAUGACUCCACUUUAACCAACCACUGUGAAAUUAUAAAACAAAGAUUUUCAACUUCUUAUAAGAAGGUGGUGGUCUUUCUCGCUUCUCUCACAUUUAAAGAAUUCUCCCCAUCACUUGUAACCCCACUCCUCCUGGUAACAGGUUUCUUAUCCAUUAUAUGUGUAAUUCAUGUGCCAGUAAGUGCAGACUUGAUUCAAAUGAUUGUAGGAGAAGCAUUUCCUCACAUGAUUGACAAUGCUAAAAGUUAAGUUGGGAUUGACAUUAAAUAUGGUUAGGGUCCAGGUCAGUUUCCCUGGGAUUGUCUGGGCUCUGCUCCUCUCAGGUUGACUGUCCACUUGACAGCAAAUGACUACAGCUGUCAAAGGUUUCCUUCUGUGUGCUGCAUAUGUGGUCAAGAGGACAAGAGGAAACCUGAUUUCUAGAAAUUCCCAGAACACUGAGAAUUAGGUUUAGUUUAGUGAACUUACAUGAUAUAAGCGUGUACUGGGCCGAUUAGUUAAAUCAGAUUAGAUGCUGCACGUGUGCAAAAAGGUAAAGCCCCUUAUAUGAAUUCACAGAAAUGAGCAAGGCAGUUAAGGAAAAAAGGAGAAGGAUGCUGGGUACAUCUCAACUAUUCAUAAGAGUUCAAUAACUGUUUCCAGAAAACUAAUGUAUGCCAUGUAAAUUAUGAAAGCAAUACUACAAAUGAAAUUCAGCACAAAUUGCUGGGUCUCUCCUUUUUAAAAAUUACAUUCUGAAAACACAUGCUAUAAUAAAUCUGUGUGAUAAUUUGAUUUUUGUGUAAAUCAUUGUUCAGGGUAUUAUUAAAGCAGACAUUGGUUAACUCUGUGAAGGUCAAAUAACCAGUUAAUCACCAAAUGUUGCAGAAAUGGUAAAGAUAUGUCUGAUAUUUGAAUUUGAAGAUUCUGCUCUGAUUUAUUGGCUUCAAUAUUUCCAAGCUUUAUUCUUUAAAUAAGUCUAUAGGUAUAGAUUUUCUGGGAUGGGUUUAGAGUGGGCUUUCUUCAAAAAUUGUUCUGCUAGCAUCUUAAAGUGUGUCUCAUUUUUUCUUAACAAAUAGUAGAAAUGUGUUAGUAAACCUACAUAUCUUGUAAGAAAAAGCUAGUUAUUUUCCUAUCGAUGGUAUUGUCCUUGAUUUCAUUUCAAUAAGAAAACAACAACCUGUAGAUAUUUCUUCAUUUAUCUCUCUCAUCACUAUUUAACUAUCAGUAGAGGAAAUACACUGUAUUAACUCAGAAUAAAUUCAAGAAGGUUGGAGUUACAAUAUUAAUAGUUUAAAGCUUUCUUGAUGAUAUAAAACUAUUCUGAUAUCCUUUUAAUUUGAAAAAACAUGAGUAAAGUUU